CAAAUACUUCCUCCGUCCGGAAAUACUUAUCAUCAAAAUGGAUAAAAGGAAAUGUAUCUAGACGUAUUUUAGUUUUAGAUACAUCUCUUUUUAUCCAUUUUGAUGACAAGUAUUUUCGGACGGAGGGAGUAGAAA
rnacentral:pre_miRNA from 1 species